GGAAUUGAACCCGGAUCUCUGGCGCUGUGAGGCAGCAGUGCUAACCACUGUGCCACUGUGCCGCCCACCAAAAUGCCAAAAUCAAAGACCGAGGAUGAUUUGUGAUUCUGAACACCAGUUUAGAAGAACAUCAUUCUAUAAGCAAUGAGGGAAAGGGAUUUCCCAAUGUUUAUGCUUUUAAAAGAUUCUUGGAAAUCUAGAAGAUGAUGACAUCCUUCAAGACAAUAAGAAAUUGAAUUUGCAAUCCUGACAGGGUUGUAGAAGAUAUUUUACACACGUUAAAUAGACAUGCCCUGGAAAUAAUCAGCUUGAUGUUUCUUGUUUGUCUUUCCAUCAAGACCUGAGUUUUUUUUGAGAAAAGGCAUAUUUUGUUUCAUUUCAAAAUAUGGUUUCAUAAUGUAUCCCAUUUCUUAUUUAAAAUACAGAAAUUAUUUGCUGAUAUUGAAAAUAUUGCUGAAGAAGCAGAAUACUUUACAAAACAGUCACAUUGCUGAAUUAAUGGAACAGUUUUCUACUUUCUCCUUCUCUAGUUACAGUGGGCUCAUUGCCCGUAAUAUUAACUAGGAAUCAGAUAGGCAUCCAACGUUUCAAAGAAACAUAGAAACAUAGAAGAUAGGAGCAGGAGGAGACCAUUGGGCUUGCUCCACCAUUCAUCACG